CUAUCAGCUCUCGAGAAGAUGCUCUUGAGCUGUACAGAGGUGUAAGGAGGGCAGAAAUUGACUAAAUGACACUGCUUUAGCAUUGUACAACCGAAAAGAUGUUUCCUUCUCAUAUGUCUGUGAACGAUUUGGGUGUAUUUGCAGUGGUGAUGGUCUUUGGUUGGUUGAUUGUCCUUUUGUUCAUCUUUGACUUUAGGGGUUCAUCAAAAGGCCUAUCGAUUCCAGGAGAGGAACCGUAAGACCUAGAAUUGCUAAAGAAACAGCUGACAAGUUCGCUAAAGGUGGUCUACAAGAACAUAUUUCUUUGUGGAAAUGUAUGAUUGCCAUGGCAAUUAAAGCUAUAUCUGUCACAGGAAUGGGCCGUUCAUUUAGGGACAAAAAGGAGGUUGACGAGUUAGCUGCAAUGUAUGAUGUGAGGGAAGAAAACCUGAGGACUUGGAGAAAAACCCUGGGAACAAGGACAAGAACCAACAACAAACUCAACCCACAUGUGAAACCAGGUCCGGGAAUCUAACUCAGGCCACAGUGGUGGGAGGCGAGUGCUCUCACCGCUGCGCCAUCCCUGCUCCCCACAGAUGCAUCAGUUUCUUUUCUUCAUAAGGCCAGCACGUCGGCCGACAGUCAGCUGAUACAUUGGCAGAU